GGAUGCGAUCAUACCAGCACUAAAACACCGGAUCCCAUCAGAACUCCGAAGUUAAGCGUGCUUGGGCGAGACUAGUAUUAGGAUGGGUGACCUCCUGGGAAGUCCUCGUGUUGCAUUCC
rnacentral:rRNA from 1 species